CGUUCUAUGGCCAAAUUGGUAAAGGCAUCGGCAAUCACACGCAAGGAUGCAGGUUCGAAUCCCGCUGGAAUGG
rnacentral:tRNA from 1 species